rnacentral:rRNA from 1 species
CACUCCUGCGGGAGGCAGCAGUGGGGGAUUUUGGACAAUGGGCGAAAGCCUGAUCCAGCAAUGCCGCGUGAGUGAAGAAGGCCUUCGGGUUGUAAAGCUCUUUUGUCAGGGAAGAAACGGUGAAAGCUAAUAUCUUUUGCUAAUGACGGUACCUGAAGAAUAAGCACCGGCUAACUACGUGCCAGCAGCCGCGGUAAUACGUAGGGUGCAAGCGUUAAUCGGAAUUACUGGGCGUAAAGCGUGCGCAGGCGGUUUUGUAAGUCUGAUGUGAAAUCCCCGGGCUCAACCUGGGAAUUGCAUUGGAGACUGCAAGGCUAGAAUCUGGCAGAGGGGGGUAGAAUUCCACGUGUAGCAGUGAAAUGCAUAGAUAUGUGGAGGAACACCGAUGGCGAAGGCAGCCCCCUGGGUCAAGAUUGACGCUCAUGCACGAAAGCGUGGGGAGCAAACAGGAUUAGAAACCCCAGUAGUCCCAUG